rnacentral:rRNA from 1 species
UAGGGAAUAUUGGACAAUGGGCGCAAGCCUGAUCCAGCCAUCCCGCGUGAAGGAUUAAGGCCCUCUGGGUUGUAAACUUCUUUUCUUUGGGAAUAAAAACCGGUAUUUAUACUGGCUUGAAGGUACCAGAGGAAUAAGCACCGGCUAACUCCGUGCCAGCAGCCGCGGUAAUACGGAGGGUGCAAGCGUUAUCCGGAUUCACUGGGUUUAAAGGGUGCGUAGGUGGCUUUGUAAGUCAGUGGUGAAAUCUUAGAGCUUAACUCUAAAACUGCCAUUGAUACUGCUUAGCUUGAAUCAAGUAGAGGUGGAUGGAAUAUUACAUGUAGCGGUGAAAUGCUUAGAUAUGUAAUAGAACACCGAUUGCGAAGGCAGUUCACUAUGCUUGUAUUGACACUGAGGCACGAAAGCGUGGGGAUCAAACAG